CUACGGGAUGCACCAGUGGGGAAUAUUGCACAAUGGAGGAAACUCUGAUGCAGCAACGCCGCGUGGAGGAUGACACUUUUCGGAGCGUAAACUCCUUUUAUAUAGGAAGAAGAUGACGGUACUAUAUGAAUAAGCGCCGGCUAACUCCGUGCCAGCAGCCGCGGUAAUACGGAGGGCGCAAGCGUUACUCGGAAUCACUGGGCGUAAAGAGCGUGUAGGCGGAUUAAAAAGUCAGAAGUGAAAUCCUAUAGCUUAACUAUAGAACUGCUUCUGAAACUCUUAAUCUAGAAUGUGGGAGAGGUAGAUGGAAUUUCUGGUGUGGGGGUAAAAUCCGUAGAGAUCAGAAGGAAUACCGAUUGCGAAGGCGAUCUACUAGAACAUUAUUGACACUGAGACGCGAAAGCGUGGGGAGCAAACAGGAUUAGAUACCCGCGUAGUC
rnacentral:rRNA from 1 species